CACUAAAUGUCUCCCACUGCUCGCUGCUCUGAUUCAGCUGGGACCAAGUCUGGUUUAGGGACAGCAUUGACAGAGAUUUGCUUGGAGGAGCCUCUGCAGGAGAGCCUGAAUAACCUACCUCAACUGGCUGAUCCCCAACGUCUGCUGAAUCUUCCAAACCAAUCAGUUUGGGCAUUAAGCUUUCAGGGAGUUUUUCUCGUAAGUCAUAGCCAUUGUUCCUAGCAACUACCAGAUGAAAUGCAGCACAAAACUCAACCAGUGUCAAGGCUCUAUCUUUAUCAAAAUCUGAGAGUUCCCAAAUAUGAGAAAGUUGAAUAGGAAAUUUCAAUUUUGUAAAAAACUCUUUAGCUGUAGAUCCUGGAGCUAAACAGGAAUCAAUCUGUUUAGAUCAGGCUGAACGGUUUUAAAUUGAUUUACAUAGACUGUCUUUGUUCAUCUGUUAUUUCCCAAGGAUCGUCAUAACUACUGGAUUGCCUACGAAUUUCAUUGGCAGUUGUAGCUGAGGCUACAGUUCGUAUUGUUGUCUGGUCCUAGACAGAAGCAGGAUGCAUGGUUAAAAGAGUACUGGUUAGUGGAAUAUCUGCAAAACUGACCCAGUUUUCUUGAGGUGGAGGUGGAGAAUGUCCUACCUACACUGUGUCACCAGCAGAAGAACCUGAUUGUGCUUCACCAAAGGGAGCCCAGAAUGGCCCAGGCUCUGCAAGAGGCCUCUCACUCUUUCCUCCACUGGGAUGACGGUUUUGAUUCCUCCAUGUGUGUGGAGAAGUUGGUGGAGACUGCUGUGGCUUCCCAUCUAUUUAGCUCUUUAAAAGAGGUUAAAAAGAGAAGACUCUGUAGACUUUACCCAUCUAAUUGGAGAAGACUCACCCACACAGGAGACCCCUGGCAUUGCACCAAGAAAGGCAAUGCCAAGGAAUGUUCAAACCACAACUGCACUCAUCUCACAAACUAGAAAAGUAAUGCUGAAAAUCCUCCAAGCAAGGCUUCAACAGUAGCUUCAAAGUGAACAAAGGCUUCAAAGUGAACUGAGAACUUCAAGCUGGACUUAGAAAAGGCAGAGGAACCAGAAAUCAAAUUGCCAACAUCCUUUGGAUCACCAAAAAGGCAAGAGAGUUCCAGAAAAACAUCUACUUCUGCUUUAUUGACUAUGCUAAAGCCUUUUACUGUGUGGAUCACAGCAAACUGUGGAAAAUUCUUAAAUGGAUGGGAAUACCAGACCACCUUACCUGACUCCUGAGAAAUCUGUAUGCAGGUCAAGAAGCAACAGUUAAAACCAGACAUGGAACAACAGAUUGGUUCUGAAUUGGGAAAGGAGUAUGUCAAGGCUCUAUAUUGUCACUCUGCUUAUUUAACUUAUAUGCAGAGUACAUCAUGCAAAACGCUGGACUGGAUGAAGCACAAGCUAGAAUCAAGACUGCCGGGAGAAAUAUCAAUAACCUCAGAUACGCAGAUGACUCUACCCUUAUGGCAGAAAGCAGAGAGAAACUGAGAAGGCUUUUGAUGAAAGUGAAAGAGGAGAGUAAAAAAUUGGCUUAAAUUCAACCUUCAGAAAACUAAGAUCUUGGUGUCUAGUUCCAUUACUUCUUGGCAAAUAAAUGGGGAAACAAUGGAAACAGUGAGAGAUUUUAUUUUGGGGGGCUCCAAAAUCACUGUAGAUGGUGACUGCAGCCCUGAAAUUAGAAGACUCUUUCUUCUUGGAAGAAAAGCUAUGACCAACCUAAACAGCAUAUUAAAAAGCAGGACAUUACUUUGCCAACAAAGGUCUGUCUAGUCAAAUGUAUUGUUUUUCCAGUAGUCAUGUAUGGAUGUGAGAGUUAGACCAUAAAGAAAGCUGAGUGCCGAAGAAUUAAUGCUUUUGAACUGUGGUGUUGGAGAAGACUCUGAGAGUCCCUUGGACAGCAAGGAGAUCCAACUGGUCCAUGUUAAAGGAAAUCAGUCCUGAAUAUUCAUUGGAAGGACUGAUGCUGAAGCUGAAGCUCCAAUACUUUGGCCACCUGAUGCAAAGAGCUAACUCAUUUGAAAAGACCCUGAUGCUGGGCAAGACCAAAGGCAGGAGGAGAAGGGGACAACAGAGGAUGAGAUGGUGAAUGGCAUAACCUACUGGAUGGGCAUGAAUUUGGGCAAGCUCCAGGAGUUGGUGAUGGACAGGGAAGCCUGGCAUGCUGCAGUCCAUGGGGUUGCAAAGAGUUAGACACGACUGAGUGACUGAUCUGAACAAAAUCCAUCUCUGUCACUGGCUACUUAUAUUGCCUUAAAUUUCCCAAGUUUCUAUUCAGCAUAAGGUACUGAAAGUUCUUGAUAAAUAAAAUA
ensembl:lncRNA